rnacentral:lncRNA from 1 species
UUUUGUUCCUUUAGAGGAGCAGAGGAACUGCCUUCGUUUCAUUGAGAUUUGGCAUUUAUCUGUUGCUGUGACCUGGGCACUUGGAGCAAUGUACUGAGCACAGUGGCUUUGCAGCCACAAACCAGACACCUACCUACUGACCUACCUACCUACCAAUGAACUGAUCGAUCUACCAACCUACCUACCGACCUACCUACCGACCUAUGUACCUACCUACCAACUGAUCAAACAACAGACCAACCAACGGACCAACCAACUGACCUACUUAUACCAAGCUGGUGGGCAAUAUGCAUCUUGGAUGAGCUUCACCAACAGUCUAAGAUCUCCACAAAUGUACAUUUUUGGUUAGAAAAGUAGUAUUGUGAAAGCGAAGCUGCAAAGAUAAUCCUGCAGCACUUUACACUUUCUGCAUUAAUUGUUUUCUAUACCCUGUUUUAAGUAGUUUGGGGGUGAGCUUUUGAGAAGCAGAUUUGUGUCAGAUGCUUACAAACAGCAGAAAGAAGUCUUCCUAGUGGCAAGGUGGUUGCUCCCUG